AUCGCAGAUCAGCAUGCUGCGGUGAAUACGUUCCCGGGCCUUGUACACACCGCCCGUCACACCAUGAGAGUCGAUAACACCCGAAGCCUGUAGUCUAACCAUAAGGAGGACGCAGUCGAAGGUGGGAUUGAUAAUUAGGGUGAAGUCGUAACAAGGUACC
rnacentral:rRNA from 1 species